GUAAGGAAUAUUGGUCAAUGGACGAAAGUCUGAACCAGCCAUGCCGCGUGAAGGAUGAAGGCCCUCUGGGUUGUAAACUUCUUUUAUCUGGGACGAAAAAAGGGUAUUCUUACUCACUUGACGGUACCAGAGGAAUAAGCACCGGCUAACUCCGUGCCAGCAGCCGCGGUAAUACGGAGGGUGCAAGCGUUAUCCGGAUUCACUGGGUUUAAAGGGUGCGUAGGUGGGUAUUUAAGUCAGUGGUGAAAUCUCCGAGCUUAACUCGGAAACUGCCAUUGAUACUAUUUACCUUGAAUGCCCUGGAGGUAAGCGGAAUAUGUCAUGUAGCGGUGAAAUGCUUAGAUAUGACAUAGAACACCAAUUGCGAAGGCAGGUGGCUGUACCUUAAUCGACGCUGAUGCACGAAAGCAUGGGGAGCAAACAGGAUUAGAAACCCGAAGUAGUCC
rnacentral:rRNA from 1 species